rnacentral:misc_RNA from 1 species
UUCUAGCCCCGAUAGGAACGGUUACCCCGCAACUGGAAGCUGGAGUGUGUUGGCGUGAGGAGUAUGAGUGGAUAGCGGGAUGAAGC